rnacentral:lncRNA from 1 species
CGAAAAAAAUAUUCCCUCCUAUUCCUUAAAAUAUUUCCGCCUAUUCUUUGGACUUAAGUUCGGAAUACUUUUGAAAUUAUUUUAGCAAUAGUAAACACUUCUCAUCGUCGCUGCCCUACCGCCAUUGCUAUCUGUCUUCUCUAUUUUACCGUCGCCAGCCACCAAUCCCAGGUAACACAAAUGAUAUCUCUCUCUCUCACUGAUAUAUAAAUAUGUAUAUAAAAUUUUGCAGAGUUUGGAUGGGAGAGAGAUCUGGGUAAAUGUUGCUGAAGAUAAAUCCAAGCGCAGCUAUGAGUCUUUCAAAAUUUUGAUUUAGGUAUUUCUUUUUUGCAUUUGCUGUAAGUUUUGAGUCUCGACUUGCAAAUUUCUUAUAAGAUAAUGUGUUUAAUGAUGUUUUUCCUUUAUUUUGCUUUUUGGGAGCGUUAGAUUGGUGAAUGAAUGUUUGUGACAUGCGAAAUUCGCCUUCCACUUGUAUGUUAAAUUACUGUUUCUUUUAAGCCGUGGUGUGCUCAAGUAGCUAGAUGAAACCAGUAAAUAUAGAAAGUUUUGGAGUAUUUAAAGUAGUAACCUUUUGUUAUUAACUGACUUCUAGGUACUCGACCUUUUGCCUCACUAGGAUUUGCUCGUAUUCAUUAUAAAAAGUUGUAUGCUCAGUAUCUAAGCAACUAUCUUUGUUUUUCUUUUUUUUCCAUUACUGUUUCUUUUGUGGCAUAAUCUGUGUUUCUUACUCCAUUUCACAUAUGGAAGAACUAACAAAAAAAUAUUGCAAUUUUAUAUUUUGUACAAUGAAAUAGAGUGAGAGCAACUGAAGAUUCAACAACUGUUCUUUUAGUUUGAUGCCAAGAUACUCAUCAAGUUAGUUCCUUAUUAAGAUCGAACAAUUCUUUGAGGCUACCUUGUUAGGAAGAGUAAUCAGAGAUUUGAAGAAAAAUGUAGAAUAGUUUGUUGAGACACUUAUGAUAGGUCGUGUUAGCUACUUACUGCCACUCAGAUUUUACUACCACUAAGCACUUUAUCUUUUAGUGCUUAGAAAAACUCUAGAGUCUCAAGUGUGCUUUGGACAAAUUGAUACAUCAUGAGUUUAUCGGAGAUUCUUGAGUCCGAGAAAGACACUUCACGAAAAGCUAAGUAUUUUUAACAAGUAAUUCAACAUUCCAAUAUGUUAGCUUGCUGCCACUCAAAUUUUAUAGUCACUAAGCAUUUUACUAUAUAGUGCUUCAAAGAAAACUCUAUAGUGUAUUAGGUAAAGAUCAGAUAUAUCAUGAGUUUAUUGGAGAAGUAGAGUAUUUGUGGUAUAUAACUUGUUCAAGGCAUAUUUAUGAGAGAAAUAAACAUUCAAUGUAAGGGUAAAGUGUUUAAGGUUUUUAUGUGGAUUUACUGUUCGUCUAGUUUCUCAAGGUUCAUGCUUUAUUGCACAGAAUUUGUUUUCUUGAGAAAGAUUUUGGCAACUAUUAAGUGGCCAUUUAGAUAUUAAUCAUUCUCCUUUUUUUCUUUCUAUUUAAUGUGUUAAAUUGAACCAAAUUGCAUUUAAGUCACAUAAGAUCUUGUUAUAAGAACUUAAAUUUCCCUUUGAUUUGAAUACAACCAUACUAAUACCUUAUUGCCUAUUUAUUUGCAGGCUCGAAUUAAAAAGAUUAUGCAAGAUGAUGAGGAUGUGCGGGUGAUUAAUGGCAUGGUUGUCCCUCUUUUAAUCUGUAAGUGCUCUUGAAAAGUCACAUAGUUCAGUGAACUAAGUUAACAUCUUUUAGUUCGUAUUAUCAUGUAUGAAGUAGGAUUUAAAGAAAUCUUGGUAGAUUAUGCUCAGUUCACGCUAAGGAGUUUGAGUUGUCUUGUUUGAUUUAACAAACUUCAUAUGGUAAUUAAGUUCAAAUAAUACAAAAUACUCAUACUGUUAGGACCCAUAACAUUGAAAUGGAGGGUGUUUUUGAUGAAGCAUUUGUUAGCCUACUCAUAAAAAUUUCAGGACUACAAUAGAAGACAUUUUAAUAUUUUAUACAAUUGUACCAGAAAGAAUACAUACACAAUUCAAGCUAAUUAAGAUAUGUCAUCAAAGAAAGAAAACACAUCAUUUAUCGCAUACGGGAAGGCAUAUCAAUUAACUUAGCAUGUUAUCUAAGUAGGUAUCUUUGAAAUAUAUAAAAAACAAUUGACGGUCAAAACUAGAAUGCUACAUUUGUAAAAUGUUCUUAUGAGCAGCAGACUUUGAUCUAAAUAUUUGGUAUUGCUCACUAAAUUUUGAUUUAUAUGCUUUCCUCAACAUUUUACUAAAUAACUUUGAGCCAACACAGAAAACUCUGCCUUAUAUAGACAUUUUGGCUUCUUUAAUUCAUAACUUUUGUUGUAUGCUGGAGCAAAAAAUCUGUGUAUAGGCCCCAUUUUAGUUUUCUUUAUCUUUUCAGAUGUAGAUGUAGUUAAUUGUUGAAUUUAUCUACCACUUUAUACCUAUAAUAAUUCUGCCUAGAAUAAAUUGGGCAGCUUUGUUUUAUUAUCCAUACUGAAAUUUAGUUGCUUAAUCACUGGGAAGGCAAAAACGAGGAAUAUGUUAGAAAAGGUUUAUGUCAAUAGGUGAGAUAUUAUUUUAUGUAUAUGUAAUCAGUUUGCAUGAGCAUUAGAGUUCUAAUUUUAACUUUGGCUUUUUAUUUUUUACUGUCUAUUCAAAAAAUUGUCUAUUCUGCUAAUUUUAUCAACUAUAGAGAAGCCUCCCUUUUUAACUUGUGAGAAUUUGUAAGCAUGCCAAACAAAAUAUGUUUCUUUUUAGAAUCUAGAAGCUACUGAUAAUAAAAAAAUUCAAAGAACAAAGGAAAGGGUGAAAGAUAUACUAUUUUGAGAAUGUAAAUGUCCCAUAAUUAUUUUUUGAUUAUUGAUGGAUCUCACAUGUGGUUGUACGUAUACUCUUUUAUUUUAUCAUUUCACGUCAUACAUUAUGAUAUUUAGGAAUUUGGCAUGUGGAAAGCUUCAUUGUGAUCAAGAGCUUGAGAAUCUCGUGAUUCUUAUUUUCUAGUUUGUAGCCAUUUGAUAACAUAUUAUCAAAAGCUGAUAAUAGUAAUUAGAUUCAAAUAGCUUAGCUUUUUUAUUAUAUUGUCAACAUUUUGAAAUUGUGAAUUAGUAGUUGUUUUUGUUUGAUGUGGAUUUCAUGAAGUGAAUUUAGCAUUUCGAAA